GACGAACGCUGGCGGCGUGCUUAACACAUGCAAGUCGAACGGAAAGGCCCUGCUUUUGUGGGGUGCUCGAGUGGCGAACGGGUGAGUAACACGUGAGUAACCUGCCCUUGACUUUGGGAUAACUUCAGGAAACUGGGGCUAAUACCGGAUAGGAGCUCCUGCUGCAUGGUGGGGGUUGGAAAGUUUCGGCGGUUGGGGAUGGACUCGCGGCUUAUCAGCUUGUUGGUGGGGUAGUGGCUUACCAAGGCUUUGACGGGUAGCCGGCCUGAGAGGGUGACCGGCCAGAUUGGGACUGAGAUACGGCCCGGACUCCUACGGGAGGCAGCAGUGGGGAAUAUUGCACAAUGGGCGGAAGCCUGAUGCAGCAACGCCGCGUGCGGGAUGACGGCCUUCGGGUUGUAAACCGCUUUCGCCUGUGACGAAGCGUGAGUGACGGUAAUGGGUAAAGAAGCACCGGCUAACUACGUG
rnacentral:rRNA from 1 species